rnacentral:rRNA from 1 species
UACAGAGGGUGCGAGCGUUAAUCGGAUUUACUGGGCGUAAAGCGCGCGUAGGUGGUUAAUUAAGUCAAAUGUGAAAUCCCCGAGCUUAACUUGGGAAUUGCAUUCGAUACUGGUUAGCUAGAGUAUGGGAGAGGAUGGUAGAAUUCCAGGUGUAGCGGUGAAAUGCGUAGAGAUCUGGAGGAAUACCGAUGGCGAAGGCAGCCAUCUGGCCUAAUACUGACACUGAGGUGCGAAAGCAUGGGGAGCGAAUGGG